AUUGAACGCUGGCGGUAUGCUUAAGACAUGCAAGUCGAACGGUAACAGACCUUCGGGUGCUGACGAGUGGCGGACGGGUGAGUAACACGUGGGAAUCUACCUUGUAGUGGGGGAUAAGCCAGGGAAACUUGGACUAAUACCGCAUACGCCCUAAGGGGGAAAGGAGCAAUUCGCUAUAAGAUGAGCCCGCGUCUGAUUAGCUAGUUGGUGAGGUAAAGGCUCACCAAGGCGACGAUCGAUAGCUGGUCUGAGAGGAUGAUCAGCCACACUGGAACUGAGACACGGUCCAGACUCCUACGGGAGGCAGCAGUAGGGAAUAUUGGACAAUGGGGGCAACCCUGAUCCAGCCAUGCCGCGUGAGUGAAGAAGGCCCUCGGGUUGUAAAGCUCUUUUGUCCGGAAAGAAAAGCAAUCGGUUAAUACCCGGUUGUUCUGACGGUACCGGAAGAAUAAGCACCGGCUAACUUCGUGCCAGCAGCCGCGGUAAGGUAGAUGAGU
rnacentral:rRNA from 1 species